ensembl:miRNA MIR3680-1 microRNA 3680-1
AAAUUUAAGGAGGGACUCACUCACAGGAUUGUGCAAAUGCAAAGUUGGCUUUUGCAUGACCCUGGGAGUAGGUGCCUCCUUAAAUUU